rnacentral:lncRNA from 1 species
AAAAGAGACUAGAAAGUGAUUUCUGAUUUUCUGAGAGAAUGUCCUAUAAUCAAGACGUGGAACUUUGUGGUUGGCUGCCAUUAAAUGAAAACUGAUCCAUAUUUAAUACUUUCAUGAAAUAAUAGGGUGUGUAAUAACUAUUAGCUAAAGGCUUGCAGGGUUUAUUUAAAGUUGCAUUUACUAUUAUGUUAAAUUCUACAUCAAUUAAAUUUAUCUUCCAGCAGUACAACUAUCUGACAGUCUUUGCAAGAUAAAGGAAGUGAUGCAUCUGAAAAUACCACCUUUCCUACAGAUAUUUUCCCUAAACGUAGCUAAUUAUUUGCACUCCGAUUUUUGUACUUCUUUUUCCCCAAUCAGGCCUUUCAUAUAUAGGGUUAUUAUACACUGAGUCAUAAUGCUGAUUAGGGACGGUUGCUGCUACAUGUAAGGGUUAAAACAUUUGUGUCUACUUCUCCUGUUGUUUUUAAAUGAAGUUAUGUCCAGAGCUCCAUGCUUGGGAGUCUGUUUUAUCUUCAUUUCCUUGAACUGUCUGGGAGCUUUCGGAGCUCAGAAGGUUCCCAGGUGUACUUAAAUAAACAAGUAAGGCAUGGGAAUCUGGCCAAUUCCCGUGUCUGCUCUUUAAUAAACAACUUCAAGGACGUAGUUACAAAAUGAAGUUUGCUCUCAAGACGGGGGGUCUGUGUAACCAAGCAUAAUAAAAAACCAGUGUAAGACAGCUUUAAUGGAACAGACGGACUUCUGCAUCUGACUUGUGCCUACCCGCUGCUGUACUGCCGGUGUUGAUUGCAAGAUUGCUGUUUGGAUGCUCACACCUCUUUGGAUUCUGUUGAAAAAUUACAUAACAAAAAGGCAGACGAUUUAACUAAAAUUAGUUCCAAUACCCAUGCUGAAGAUCAUCUAAAGUUUGCCCAAUGGAUACACAAGCAUACUGGUCAUACUGGGGCAAAAACCAUGUACAGUAUUUUAUAGGUUUCUUGCUGCUUGGAUUCCACAACAUCCAUCCAGUUCUUCCGUUUACGCCAGGAAAUAUUUUGACACUGCAAUCAAAUUCCACCACAGAACUAUUAUUGAGAUGGGGAUGAAAAAAUGAUAGAACAAACCGAACGCAAGAUAAUUUCAUUUGUUCUCCUAAUGAAGAAUGUUUGAACGUGAACUUUACUGUGAGUGAAAGUAAUCUGUUAACAUGGAAAGGACAGUUUCCAGUUAGAAGAGUGCUAUACAGUGAUAAUCCUGUUCACAUAAAUAUUACUUCUGUUGUUAAUAUUACAUGUUGCAUGGUAGAUUUACGCUCCUUAAUGCAUAUGUCUCAGAAACAAGCAGCUACAUAUAUAUAUAGAAAAAUAUAACCUGCUAUCAGUUAUUCUAUAUCAAAAUAAACAACUUAAUCAAUCCUUACAAAUACUAGCUAAACAAUUAGCUCAACAUAGAAUACAAACUACUAUUAUUAGCAAUACUCUCCAAAGCUAUUCACAUGCUGUCUCUUAUACACAUCUAGAUGUGUAUAAGAGACAGGGGUAAGACAGCUUUAAUGGAACAGACGGACUUCUGCAUCUGACUUGUGCCUACCCGCUGCUGUACUGCCGGUGUUGAUUGCAAGAUUGCUGUUUGGGUAUGAUACUGACCUAUGUAUAUAUUUGUAAAUAAACCAUUUUCUUAUUCCUAUUUCUUGGCUAGUGUUUUUCCUUCCCACGAACCUGCCUGUUCAAAUUAAAUCCAAGCUUGAUACUAACUGAAACUGAGACACUACAGGACAGCAGUCCUCAGGAAAAAUUAAAAUUGACCUUUAACAUAAAAUU